GGCUGAUUUGGAUGCAGUUGUGUUAUAACAAUUGAUCACAACCUGUUGCAAAUUUAUUUGUUCCUUCUCCAUGCCCACUAUUUCACUUGACUAUCCUUAA
rnacentral:Y_RNA from 1 species